rnacentral:rRNA from 1 species
GUAGGGAAUAUUGGACAAUGGGUGGAAGCCUGAUCCAGCCAUGCCGCGUGCAGGAAGACGGCCUUCUGGGUUGUAAACUGCUUUUGCCUGUGGAUAAAAAGACUCUGCGGAGUAAAUUGAAGGUAGCAGGUGAAUAAGCCACGGCUAACUACGUGCCAGCAGCCGCGGUAAUACGUAGGUGGCAAGCGUUGUCCGGAUUUAUUGGGUUUAAAGGGUGCGUAGGCGGUCUGUUAAGUCAGUGGUGAAAUACGGCAGCUCAACUGUCGAGGUGCCAUUGAUACUGGCGGACUUGAGUACUGAUGAGGUAGGCGGAAUGGACGGUGUAGCGGUGAAAUGCUUAGAUAUCGUCCAGAACACCGAUAGCGAAGGCAGCUUACUAAGGAGUAACUGACGCUGAGGCACGAAAGUGUGGGGAUCAAACAGGAUUAGAAACCCCAGUAGUCC